rnacentral:rRNA from 1 species
GACGAACGCUGGCGGCGUGCUUAACACAUGCAAGUCGAACGGUAAGGCCCUUCGGGGUACACGAGUGGCGAACGGGUGAGUAACACGUGGGUGAUCUGCCCUGCACUUCGGGAUAAGCCUGGGAAACUGGGUCUAAUGCCGGAUAGGACCACUGCCUGCAUGGGUGGUGGUGGAAAGCUUUUGCGGUGUGGGAUGGGCCCGCGGCCUAUCAGCUUGUUGGUGGGGUGAUGGCCUACCAAGGCGACGACGGGUAGCCGGACUGAGAGGGUGACCGGCCACACUGGGACUGAGAUACGGCCCAGACUCCUACGGGAGGCAGCAGUGGGGAAUAUUGCACAAUGGGCGCAAGCCUGAUGCGGCGACGCCGCGUGAGGGAUGACGGCCUUCGGGUUGUAAACCUCUUUCAGCACCGACGAAGCGCAAGUGACGGUAGGUGCAGAAGAAGGACCGGCCAACUACGUGCCAGCCGCCGCGGUAA